UGGGGAAUUUUGGACAAUGGGCGCAAGCCUGAUCCAGCCAUGCCGCGUGAGUGAAGAAGGCCUUCGGGUUGUAAAGCUCUUUCGGCCGGGAAGAAAUCGGCGACUCUAACAUAGUCGCUGGAUGACGGUACCGGAAUAAGAAGCACCGGCUAACUNCGUGCCAGCAGCCGCGGUAAUACGUAGGGUGCGAGCGUUAAUCGGAAUUACUGGGCGUAAAGCGUGCGCAGGCGGUUUUGUAAGACAGAUGUGAAAUCCCCGGGCUUAACCUGGGAANUGCGUUUGUGACUGCAAGCCUAGAGUACGGCAGAGGGGGGUGGAAUUCCNGGUGUAGCAGUGAAAUGCGUAGAGAUCAGGAGGAACACCGAUGGCGAAGGCAGCCCCCUGGGCCUGUACUGACGCUCAUGCACGAAAGCGUGGGGAGCAAACAGGAUUAGAUACCCUGGUAGUCCACGCCCUAAACGAUGUCGACUAGUCGUUCGGAGCAGCAAAGCACUGAGUGUCGCAGCUAACGGGAGAAUCCGACCGCCUGGGAGACGCCGCAA
rnacentral:rRNA from 1 species